UCUGCGUGAAGAUCAUAAGAAAUAUUAAUGAAAUGAGUAAAAACAAUUAGGGGAGUCCUGGAGAUGUCUCCCUUUUCUUAUGGGAGUGUUUGCCAGCGACUGGCGUUGCCUGUACACCCAGACAGCGGCGAUUUGCUCGCCGGAGAAACACAAUCAGCAGCGAAGGAUUGAGAAGGAGCCGAUGGAGCUAGGGCUCGACCUCUGCGGUCUGUGUGUGAGGGAGAAUCUUCGUCGAUGAGAGAUUCGGAAUCAGUCGAGGCGGAGGAACCUUCCUUCAAAGGCACCGAGACAGCAGCUGCGGCUUGGCCGGAUUUCAGAGAUGACGGCGGCGACUUGAAG
rnacentral:lncRNA from 1 species